CAUGCGAUCUUAAAGGAGAGAAGUAGCACUGUUUCACCUAUAGAUGGGGCGAGAGAUCCAAGUCCUGGCUUUGUCCAUCAGCAUCUGCAAUCAGGGUUAUAUUGCAUAUUUUUGCACCUUCUCGAAGACUUUUUUGCUGCUUGGUUGCAAUAUCAAUUCAAAGACUCAGGAGAUAUAUAUAUAUAUAUUGAAGACACACAAGAAAAUAUGCAAUUCUCUUUUGCACCAUAUAUAAUGAGAGGUUGCCUCUGUGGCUCCAAUUAUGCCUGUCUUCCAGAAGAAAAUCUGCGAGGUAGGGCAGCCUAAGUAAAUGUUUUAUUUUGUCUCUCUU